GUUGUCUCUCUGCCCAGUCUCCAUCUCCCUUCCCAGCCAUGGCCUUCCUAGUGCCUGCCCUUCCCCUGCCGCCCCUCUCCGUGGACGCCGCCCAUGGAGGGUCGCCGGCUGCACUGCUUCCCAUCUAUCCCACCGCCAUGGAGCUCGCCGGAUUGCGUCCCUGCAUCCAUGGCGGCUGCUUGGCCCCAGCUCCUUGCCGCGCCCUUCCAGUCCCUCUGCCGGCCAUGGAGCUCGGCCCUAGCUCGGAUUCUUGCGUCGCGCCCGGCUGUUUCUCCCUGGCGCUCGAAACCCAGUCGCCCAGCCCAGCUGCAGCUCGUCGUGCCCUCGCUGCUCCCUGCUCCUUGUUCUUCUCGGCACGACAGAGAGUUUCCUCGGCCGCGCGUCCCUACUUCCCCUGCGCGUACGUGCUUGCUUCCUCUGUCGCAGCAGCGAAGCUGUUUCUUCCCCGUCGCGCGCAGCCGCGUCUGCUCCGUGCGCACGCGCUCAACCUGUUCGCCAUGGUUGCUGCGCGCCACGCAUACUGCUCUUUGGAGCUCGGUCGUAACCUCGUCAUCGUUCGGCAGCUCUAGCGCCUCUGUUUUUUCCUGCGCGCGCUGGUGCCCAGCUCGUUUGGGGCUGCGUGUGCUCCUACGUCGCGCUCUGCUUGCAGAGUUCCUUCGCAUCGUGCAUCUCCAGCUCGCCGAGUCUGACCCCAAACCGUCGUGCGCCGCCUGGGCCCGGUGUCUCUUUCUCGUCACCAGCUCGCGCGCCCCUGUUUUCUUUGUCGUCGGUCGUCGUCUUCGAGUUGAUUUUUAGCUGUUGUAGUAUUUUUAGUUAUCCCGGCUGCGUCUGUGGCCGUCAAAUCAUCGGAGUCGCUCAACUCACCAAUCGUAUCUUGGUCAGUCAUCGAUUUCAUGUUUUUCAUGGUCCUCACGUCAGCCGUCCCUAUCCAAACUUGCCAGCUCGCCGACUGACCGUCGUGUUCCUUGAAAUCCCUCGUCGGCCGAUCUUGCAACUUAGUUCGUCGUGUCGUGUGUGCCGCUCUAUAUAUGCCACCCUCCUAUAUCGUCGUCGAAGCUGUCAUCUCCGGCUCGAUCCCCACCUCACCAGUUCGCUCCAGACUUUAAUUGAAGGUCGUCGUCGAUCUGUGCGUCAUCAAGAAAUUCCAAGAGUCAAGUGAAGACGGAGCCAGCAACGUGAUAUUCACCAAGUGCGCGACAAAAAGCUCAAGCCAGGAUUUAUCAGCAUUCGUACGAGAUUUGGGUCGCGUUUGAUGCUGGUAUGUUUAUUGACCACGUGAUGUGGACAAAUAAAGCUGAGUCGACCCCAAGAUGACCUAACGGGUGGACUAAUCCGCAGGAUGAAGCUGAUGGAUUAAUCUGAAGACGGGUAAUUGGAGCAAUGCGAAGACAAAGGAUGAUCGUCAAGUGGUCAUCGUCUAACAACACUAACCUAGUGUUACCCAGGCAAGCCCCGGUGCAUGCAACCCCUUCCUUGUGUUUUUAAAUACUUUUCGCACACUUAAGUCUAGUGAAUGUGCAU
rnacentral:misc_RNA from 1 species